GGUAAGCCUAUUAGACUCAUUAGAGAUCAUGGACUGUCAUCCCAUCAUAGUGUGUGGUGAUUUUAAUGAGAAUGUUUUAUCUAUUGCAAACAAACCAAUCCUGGAGCUGUUUGAGUCUAGGGGAUACGCACAGGUCAUCACUGCCCCUACCACAGAGAAGAACACACUGCUUGACCUUAUUUUCAUUUCUCAGCCAGAGCGAUGUCUCCAUUCUGGAGUCAUGAAGACCUACUAUAGUUACCAUGACCCUGUAUACUGUGUAUUGUCCUGUGAUGAUUCAUGAUCUAGAUCUUUGACUACAGUAAGUAAUUUCUAUAUUUUUGAAUGACUUAAGAAAGUAGAGCGAUAUUUAAAAGUUGACUUAAGAAAAAGCGCCCUGCAUUGCAAUAUAAUGUUUCAAUUGUCUACAUAAAAUACAAUUAAAUGAAUUAAGUAAUGAUAUCAGUAAAAGAUGACAAUUUUAUGUAUUACAGAAAAUCUAAAAAUCAGAAAUCUAUGAAUGUCAGAAAAAUCAAAUAUAGCAGUUUAAAACGAACAGUGUAGGCAUAUCCUCUCUGCAGCCAGGCUUCAAAAUCCUGCCAGGCUGCCCCAGUCUCACUGUGGCUGGGAGGGAGGGAGGGUGGACCAGAGGAUUGCCCACACAACACAUAAAUGUUCAACAGCUUCUUCAUUGUUUCUGAGAGAACAACACAGACUAAAGGUUGCUUUUUUUUAAAAAAGAAAAAAAAAGAAAAAUAAAAAUCUAAUUACAGCAAUAAUGACAGUUAAGCCAGUUUAUCUGUGCCUCUAUUUUGAAAUACUAUUUACUAAAAUGUUAUUGAUUUCAGUUUGUUAUAAUCUUUAAACUUUUUCAAAAGUAUAUUAUUAUAUUUUUGGACAAAUCUUUCAAUGAAACAUACAUUUUUAUGAGCUUUUAUCAUGUUUCAGCCAGUGCAUUUAUCAGGGUGGGUCUGGGAUGAUAAAUGCACUGGCUGAUAACUGCACAUUUCUGGCCAGAAAUGUUUCAGCAGUGUUACAUAUGCACUACAUAUGUUAAACUUGCUUUUUGUUACCAGUUGAUACCCUACAUUUGUAUAGACAUUGGGUGGUGUGAGGCUGGGGAGUUGAGUGGAGUGGGUAGGUGGGAGUUGAAUGUGGGGGGGUACGGUGGGAGGUUGUUAGGUUUCUUUUUUUUUUUUUUUUUUUUGUAAAGAGAGACACAGUCCUCCUGUGUCUUCUCCAAGCUUCACAUGGUAAAUCCAACAGUGUGAAGCACAUAGCAGCCAGAAACUGUAAUGCCACAGAUCAGAGAGGCUUCAUCAUCACCAUCUUCACCGUACGAUCAGAGCAUGAGACUUCACAUCUGGAGCACAGGAGAGAUUCUGUGAUAAGUCCUCCUUCUAGCUUGUCCCACAAGCAGUCGGUGAGAUUUACUCACAACAAAAAGGGUUAAUGACAUUAUUUUCAUGGAAACAUGUAUUAAUUCUUUGUAAAGUGUUUAAAUUGUGUUUUCACUUGACCUUAGGAGUGUUAUUUUGAGUGUAUUUUAAUAUCUGUACUCAGGUGUUUCCCUCUGUGAUCCAUCCCCUUCAGAGCUGAGACACUCAGGACUGAACAGACUGCACAGUUUCUGUGACCGAGCCUCCAAAACACCUUCUUUGAAACCACACAUGAUAGAAGGGCUUUAUAUUUGCAGCAGCACUACUAAAGGUAUUCAGUUUAUUACAGGAUGUGUUUGUUUCUUAGGACCAGCUCUAAGUGCACACUACCUAACAUAUACACCUUUCUGUUCAUUACAAACCAACUACUCUGGAUCAUAUGGCCAGUCGGCAGGAAUGUUGCUGCAGGAAAACAUCCCUGAAGAUCACCAUCAUUGUCAGACUGACUGUGCCUCCUCUGUGCAGUGUCAAGAUCCUCCCUAAAUGAGUGUCUAUCCUGCUUCUGUGCUGCUUGCCACACAUCAAACACUGGCCGGAUGACAGGGAGGAUCCACUCUGAAGUCACUGGACAUGAUGAGGAUCAUAUGGGACUUUAUAGUUUCACAGAAAUGUUGUGCUCUUUGAUUACAGGUUUUAAAUGGACAUAAUGACUGCCUCUCUCUGAUCUGACAGGCUAAAGGAUUGUUUUCAUUGUUAGUGCUCUGUACAGUGUAUGCUUAUUUAAUAUUUCAUCACAGAGCAAACCUUUAUUUAUUUAACAUAUUUUUAUUUUGUUUUAAUGUUGAAUUAACUGUGGGGAUUUUUUUAAGUGGGCACUCGGGAUGUCAUAUGACCAGAAAUGUGGUAACUGGAAUUCAACAGUAUGUAAAGAAAGAAUCUGCUAAGAACAUAACACACACAAAAACCCCCAAGAGAACUCAAAUUCGUUCCAUGUAAUCCAAUCUAAAACAUUUUAAACUGCUGAACAGCAACACAAACAGUGUUAAAGAAACAGUGUUAACAGAAUAAUUAUGAUGAGUUUGUACCAAAGUUUCAGGUCACAUGGCACACCUAGUGUGUAGUGUGGGGUAUCAGCUGGUAAGUAUAGGUUUUUUCAUAUUUGUGUCCUUAGAGUUUAGAUAGAUAAAGCCUUGUGUAUAAUAAUUAGUCAUAACCACAACUCAAAGUCAGGGAUUAACUAAAUUUGGGACUUUGUGUCUGAGCCCAGGUUAAAACACAGUGUAAAAAAGCAUUUAGUGGCAUGGCUGAACAAUGCUGUAAACUAAUGAUACUUAUUUAUCCAUGUUCACAAAAAGGACUAAUGUGUUCAUUUGAUUAUUUGUAUGUGUUAAACUGUGUCACCACCUUAGGCUUUCGUUUGAGUUCACUCAAAAAUCUCUAUACAGUUCUCUUUUACCACUGUGUGGACUCUGUUUACAAUAAAACAUAAAAAAGAAUGAGUAAUAAAAAGAUGUGUAGACAGAUCAGUAGAUUCAGUAGACCAAUAUUAGCAGCUGUUCAGCCAUGUUCUACGAAACAAACACAAUUUAAAGGUUCAGGAUUGUGGUUUUAAAAGUUGAAUUUUCAUGUAUUUCAUAUGUUGCUUAUUAUUUUUAUUUGGUUAUUUAAUUUAGUUAUUUUUAUUUAUUCUCCUGUGAAGUGUUUAACAAAAAAAAGCAACUUUAAUUUCAAUUUUAUUUGUUUAUUAUUUGGUAAUUUGUUCUUUAAGAAUCGAGUCUGUGCCAAAAACUAAAGUUGAACAGACACAUGACAGGAUCAGAUUAUUAACACCUUAAAACAUUGCAAACGUCUCUUUUUAAAAUGAUUUUUAUUUUUAUUCUAUUUCGAAAAAAAAAAAAACAUUUGUUGAAUUAAUUUAAGUCCUUUUCAGAAAGAAGCUGUACAAUAUGACUUAAGAUUUUUAUGUUAUUUUCUAUGAUAUACAAAACAAAUUGAUGUAUGUAAUACCAUUAAACAUGAUAUACACAUAUGUAUAUGUCUGAAAAACAUUAUGCUGUAUAUUAAAGCUUGUAUUUUCUCCA